rnacentral:lncRNA from 1 species
CAGGUCCUCGGUGAUGGAAAUCCUUCUUCUAGGUUUCGGUGCACCCCAAUUUUGCUGUAAAUUCCUGACAAGAUAUCUUUUUGUCGUUCUAACUCGUUAUUCACCUGCGCAGUGUCGUGGUACACGGGGUGUGAUGCACUCUAUUUGCAGCCAUCUUAUCAUGAUCCCAAGAUGGCCUUUCAUUUAGGCAUUGGGAGCCUUUCACCAUAUGGGCCUAUCCCACCUCCUUCCACACCACAAAUAUGGCACUAUGUCCCCUCCUUACUCUUUAGCUUUAUCUGUCCAUGCUGAGCACUGGCUGUCCCAGACUCCCCACAUACUUUCCCCACCUCCCUGUUUUUGCUCAUGUGUCCUUGCCUCGCCUCACCCUUGAAUGUCUUUGAUGGCAAAACUCAUCUUGCCAGGUCUAAGCUGAGGAUCUCAGGAGCACUGCUGCUCCUGGCUCUCACACCAGGUGUGCCUGGAACUUGUUUUCUCCCCAGAUGGGAAGUGGUCACAGCUGUGGUGAAGAAUAGAUUGCAGAUAGAGCUGGGUCUGAGUUCUAGCCUUACCACAUCCCAGCUGUCUGUCCUUGGGACAGCUGUGUAACCAGUGUCUCAUCUGCAAAAUGGGGUAACAAGACCUCCCUCCUAGGGUUACUGUGAGGAUGAGAUGGGAUAAACCAUGCCCAGUUCUCAGAACCAAACCUGGCAGAUGGCAAACAGACCACAGCUACUGGUCCUUGUGUCUCUGGUGCCUAGAAAUAGGAGUCCCAGUAAUGAACCAAAUGCUAUGAUGGCAAUUUGUGAAUGGCAAUUGCUUGGGUACCGGGGGAAGUCCAUGAAUGGUGAUGGGACAAGUAUAGCGUAUUCAGGAAAAUUAUGAACAUACAUGAGUAGGGAGAAUGUUUUAUAAUGAACAUCAUGUACCCAAAGCCCAGCCUCAACGACUGACUCAUUGGCCAACCUCUGUGUUGCCCCCUCUCCAACAC